rnacentral:rRNA from 1 species
AGCGAACGCUGGCGGCAGGCCUAACACAUGCAAGUCGAACGAACCCUUCGGGGUUAGUGGCGGACGGGUGAGUAACACGUGGGAACGUGCCUUUAGGUUCGGAAUAACUCAGGGAAACUUGUGCUAAUACCGAAUGUGCCCUUCGGGGGAAAGAUUUAUCGCCUUUAGAGCGGCCCGCGUCUGAUUAGCUAGUUGGUGAGGUAAUGGCUCACCAAGGCUACGAUCAGUAGCUGGUCUGAGAGGAUGACCAGCCACAUUGGGACUGAGACACGGCCCAAACUCCUACGGGAGGCAGCAGUGGGGAAUCUUGCGCAAUGGGCGAAAGCCUGACGCAGCCAUGCCGCGUGGAUGAUGAAGGUCUUAGGAUUGUAAAAUUCUUUCACCGGGGACGAUAAUGACGGUACCCGGAGAAGAAGCCCCGGCCAACUUCGUGCCAGCCGCCGCUGUAAGAC